rnacentral:rRNA from 1 species
GACGAACGCUGGCGGCGUGCCUAAUACAUGCAAGUCGAACGAACUCUGGUAUUGAUUGGUGCUUGCAUCAUGAUUUACAUUUGAGUGAGUGGCGAACUGGUGAGUAACACGUGGGAAACCUGCCCAGAAGCGGGGGAUAACACCUGGAAACAGAUGCUAAUACCGCAUAACAACUUGGACCGCAUGGUCCGAGCUUGAAAGAUGGCUUCGGCUAUCACUUUUGGAUGGUCCCGCGGCGUAUUAGCUAGAUGGUGGGGUAACGGCUCACCAUGGCAAUGAUACGUAGCCGACCUGAGAGGGUAAUCGGCCACAUUGGGACUGAGACACGGCCCAAACUCCUACGGGAGGCAGCAGUAGGGAAUCUUCCACAAUGGACGAAAGUCUGAUGGAGCAACGCCGCGUGAGUGAAGAAGGGUUUCGGCUCGUAAAACUCUGUUGUUAAAGAAGAACAUAUCUGAGAGUAACUGUUCAGGUAUUGACGGUAUUUAACCAGAAAGCCACGGCUAACUACGUGCCAGCAGCCGCGGUAAUACGUAGGUGGCAAGCGUUGUCCGGAUUUAUUGGGCGUAAAGCGAGCGCAGGCGGUUUUUUAAGUCUGAUGUGAAAGCCUUCGGCUCAACCGAAGAAGUGCAUCGGAAACUGGGAAACUUGAGUGCAGAAGAGGACAGUGGAACUCCAUGUGUAGCGGUGAAAUGCGUAGAUAUAUGGAAGAACACCAGUGGCGCACGCGGCUGUCUGGUCUGUAACUGACGCUGAGGCUCGAAAGUAUGGGUAGCAAACAGGAUUAGAUACCCUGGUAGUCCAUACCGUAAACGAUGAAUGCUAAGUGUUGGAGGGUUUCCGCCCUUCAGUGCUGCAGCUAACGCAUUAAGCAUUCCGCCUGGGGAGUACGGCCGCAAGGCUGAAACUCAAAGGAAUUGACGGGGGCCCGCACAAGCGGUGGAGCAUGUGGUUUAAUUCGAAGCUACGCGAAGAACCUUACCAGGUCUUGACAUACUAUGCAAAUCUAAGAGAUUAGACGUUCCCUUCGGGGACAUGGAUACAGGUGGUGCAUGGUUGUCGUCAGCUCGUGUCGUGAGAUGUUGGGUUAAGUCCCGCAACGAGCGCAACCCUUAUUAUCAGUUGCCAGCAUUAAGUUGGGCACUCUGGUGAGACUGCCGGUGACAAACCGGAGGAAGGUGGGGAUGACGUCAAAUCAUCAUGCCCCUUAUGACCUGGGCUACACACGUGCUACAAUGGAUGGUACAACGAGUUGCGAACUCGCGAGAGUAAGCUAAUCUCUUAAAGCCAUUCUCAGUUCGGAUUGUAGGCUGCAACUCGCCUACAUGAAGUCGGAAUCGCUAGUAAUCGCGGAUCAGCAUGCCGCGGUGAAUACGUUCCCGGGCCUUGUACACACCGCCCGUCACACCAUGAGAGUUUGUAACACCCAAAGUCGGUGGGGUAACCUUUUAGGAACCAGCCGCCUAAGGUGGGACAGAUGAUUAGGGUG